rnacentral:lncRNA from 1 species
GAUUCAUAAUAAAAUUUCUUCCACGGGAAUCUACAAUUCCAUAAAUGAAAGACCCACCCAGCUUUAGAGAGGACUGUCACAACUACGCAGAGCAGUUCCUCCUUCCAGCACUGGCUCAGCAAGGUAUGCAAAUGCGGGCGCUGGCUGAUUUGUUUCCUCAGAACGCACCUUCCUGCCUCAGAGAGAGAAAAGAGCCCAGCUUUGCAGGGCUCCAGUAACAGCCUUGAGAUUCCACUGCGGUUGUUGAUAGCUGGUUUUUUUCUUCCUGCGGAGAAAGAGAAGAAACCCACCCAGAAUUCCAGAUCCCACCCACAGGCCAGUGGUUGGGAAGCUCGAGGCCAGUCUGUUGGAGCCUCGGGGAAAGCACAGCUUCUCUUACCAGUGUAGUUUUAGGCUCACCCAUCCACGAAUAAACAAGAGACACAGUUGGGCACAGCAUUGCAUCUCAGGGACUUCUGACACUGCCAGAGAGACUUCCCCAUGUUCGUGUUCAGACAGAUAAUAUAGUUUAGGGGUUACGGCAGCCUUUAAAUUUUUAAUUUAUUAUUUUAUAUUUACCCACACGUGCAGAGUUUUUAAUACUUCAGCGCUUGUCACUUACCCAGCUGCCCCGGAAGGUAGUGGAGGAUGAAGACCUUUUUGGACAGUAGGAGACAGGGAAGGACCCUGACCUAAGUGACCAGACCAGAGAGAGAACAAAAGAACCAUGCCUUGGUCAGCACUGCUUAAUUAUGCAUGGCCUUGCCCCCUGCUGUGGCUCCUCUGUUCAGGUCUAAAGCUCCCCUCAUCCUGAGGAAGGACUUGGGGGUCACUGGAUAUUGUGGCCACUUGGAAUAAUUUCAUCAUCACUUGUGGGAUGUGAGCCACAGACUAGCCUGUGGGGGCUCCUACCAGGGAACUGAGGGUUAGGGAAAGUCAAGAAACAACACAAAGACUGGAAGCUUUCUCCACCUCGGCUUCCCAAGACAGAUGGAGCAAGUUCAGAUAGGUUUUCAGAGGAGACUGGAAGCCUUUCGCCAUCUGGGCUUCAUGUAAGAAAAAUGGUGUCCACAAGAAAAGCACGGGCAUACUCAUCUGCAUCUCUCUUUUAAUAAACUAUCUCUCUU